rnacentral:tRNA from 2 species
GGGCGAUUAGCUCAGCGGGAGAGCGCUCGCUUCACACGCGAGAGGUCACUGGUUCAAUCCCAGUAUCGCCCACCA